rnacentral:rRNA from 1 species
AUUGAACGCUGGCGGCAUGCCUUACACAUGCAAGUCGAACGGCAGCACGGAGCUUGCUCUGGUGGCGAGUGGCGAACGGGUGAGUAAUAUAUCGGAACGUACCCAAGAGUGGGGGAUAACGUAGCGAAAGUUACGCUAAUACCGCAUACGUGCUCAGGAUGCAAGUGGGGGAUCGCAAGACCUCAUGCUCCUGGAGCGGCCGAUAACUGAGUAGCUAGUUGGUGAGGUAAAGGCUCACCAAGGCAUCGAUCAGUAGCUGGUCUGAGAGGACGACCAGCCACACUGGAACUGAGACACGGUCCAGACUCCUACGGGAGGCAGCAGUGGGGAAUUUUGGACAAUGGGGGCAACCCUGAUCCAGCAAUGCCGCGUGAGUGAAGAAGGCCUUCGGGUUGUAAAGCUCUUUUGUCAGGGAAGAAACGGUGAAGGCUAAUAUCCUUUGCUAAUGACGGUACCUGAAGAAUAAGCACCGGCUAACUACGUGCCAGCAGCCGCCGUAA